AUGGGGUGGCGGUUCAAGUUCGGCGGCCUUCGCGUGUUGUGGUUGGCGGCGCUGCACUUCCCUUCUCCCCUGCCCAGUACGGUGGUCUGCAGAUUAUCCUUCAAAGGAGGCCACAAAGAGCAGCGAUGGCUUCUUGGUAAUCUGCAAUUGGCCACAAAGGAUGAGGUACAUGGAGAUUGCCAGCCACCUUCCAUUGGUGUAUAUGCAAGCUACAGAGGAAAACCAAAUAUGCACCAUGCCGAUAUGCUUCAUGACGAGUGUGCUUUUGUCAUCCCUCACCCUCUCAGAUGGCCAUUAGGUGCUAACCAAGAGGUGCACGCCAUGAAUCAAACUACCGAGGGGGCAUACAGUAAUAAGGAGGGAGUGGCUAUCGCAGCGAAGCUACCCUCCCCCUCAAUCAUGCACUGCUUUUCAAACGCAGUUUGCCACUGCUGUUUAAUUAGCUUCUGCAUUAGCAGCGGAUUCAGAGUUUAUUCUUCAGCGGAUUCAAUUUGCGGGAGACUCCUGUUGCAGUUUGGUGACAUAGAUCAGUGUCAAGUCGCUUAA
rnacentral:rRNA from 1 species